GCUAGGUGUGGUGGCGCACACCUCUAGUCCCAGCUACUUGGGAGGCUGAGGUGGGAGGAUUGCUUGAGCCCAGGAGGUCAAGGCUGCAGUGAACAGCGAUCAUGCCUCUGCACUCCAGCCUGGGUGACAGAGCAAGACCUUGUCUCAA
rfam:Homo sapiens chromosome 12, GRCh38 reference primary assembly.